rnacentral:misc_RNA from 1 species
AGAAUUGCUUUGAAGAGCAAUUGAACUUAUCUUUAGAAGGGUUUGAUGGAUUGACCGCUUUGAAUUGGUGCAAGGUUAUUAGAUUCUUACCUUAGUUUAUAUCUUCUUAGUCAAGGGCCACCCAAUUAAUUGCAUUGAGUUUGUGUGCUUAGAGAGAGCUCUAGGAUAAGAAGUAGCUAUUGAUGUCUUAUCAAUCCUAGAACAAUCCUUCUAAA